AAAAGCAAUGCAUCCACUUUGAAAUUUGUAUCACGAACUACGAGGUUUUGAUCCCUCAUUUUUAUGUUGGUACGUAGGCACAAGUCUGAAGGUCUUGCCAAACACAAAAAUAUAAUUAAUGAAUUAUUAAAAGCAAUGCAUCCACUUUGAAAUUUGUAUCACGAACUACGAGGUUUUGAUCCCUCAUUUUUAUGUUGGUACGUAGGCACAAGUCUGAAGGUCUUGCCAAACACAAAAAUAUAAUUA
rnacentral:lncRNA from 1 species